CCAUGAGAUCAUGACCUGAGCUGAAACCAAGAGUCAGACGCCGAACCAACUGAGCCACUCAGGCGCCCCCAAUAUUCACUGCCUCUAUAGAACUGGUCCUUUGGUAAGGCCUUUGCAGCCCUGAUAUUUCCAUUUCUUCACAAUUGCCUCCUUUUACAGAGCCACCAUUAUUCCUGUGUCACAGGUCUAGAGAGGAGGGUUGACAAAGUGACACCCAAGCCCGGGCAACAGAUUGGGUGAAUAUCCUUCAGGCUACCCAGUUGUGCUUGCAGUUUUCAACUUCUCUCUGAGCUGUGGUUCCCAGUUCUGUUCCCCCUUGGUCUCCAGCAUCUCUCCCUACCAGUGAUGCAGCUUCACUUCUGGCCUUCAGUGGGGUGUGGAGCAGAGUGAACUGUCUUGGAUGACUUCCUCAGUCCUGAGCAGCCCACAGUCGAGGGGGGUGUGGACAGUGGGACAUAACAGCUUUGGUUUCCCUAGCUCUUGAGCCUCUUAAGAUAACAGACCCCAGUGUGCAAUUGAUGCUCGGGACAGAUAGAGGUCUUGGCAGAAGCUGAGAUCACUUUCCAAUUUCACUGAGAUUAUGAAAACAACGUUUGUGAACUUGGAAUCCUAGCACUCCUGACCCUGAGCAUUUUCUUUUUCUUUUGUCACAGACUUCUUUGAAGACCAAGUCACCGUUUCCUUCAGCUUGAGACAAUGUUUCAGGGACUCUCCUGGACCCUGUUAGGCCUGCAUGCCCAGCCAAGCAAAUUCCUAUCUCCAGAUCAUCUUAUACCCGUCUUAGUGUCUUGAAACCCUCCAUCAAAGCUGUCAUCAAAUGCCAUCUCCUCCCUGACCGUCCUCAGCCCUUCAGCCAUAAGAGAUCUUUCUUCAAAUUCUCCUAGUCACUCUGCCAGACAUUCAUCUGAGUCUCACUG
rnacentral:lncRNA from 1 species